AGGUAAGGGCAUCACGUGUUCAUUUCCAUGAAGCCGGCACAGUGCAUCCGGCACUGUGGCAUGGCGCAGCCUGAUGGCGCAUUCCCUCAGUAUCCACUGCCGUUUCCCGGUAUAAGUACGCUCGUCGGCGGCGCCCAGAGAGCAGCCCGCGUGGGCCCUUCCGUCGGGUCGCGGAAGUUUGCCUUUGGCGAGCGCUCCCUUCCGGGUUUCGAAAGGUGACGCACCGCCGCGGGCGAGUGAAGUCCCGCUGCUGGAGAGGAAACAAAAAAGAAUUCACGUCGAACACAUGCUUCUGAGCUUCUCGCCAAUUGUUUAUUUAUUUAUAAUUUAAUCAAUAAAAGCUAAAGAUUUCGGAGAGUGGCGCUGACGCACUUAUGAAAUAAAAACGCGAGCAGC